UAUUGUGGAAGCAGCAGCAGCAGCAGCAGCAGCAGCAACAGCAGCAACAGCAGCAACAGCAGCAGCAGCAGCAGCAGCAGCAGCAGCAGCAACAGCAGCAGCAGCAGCAGCAGCAGC
rnacentral:miRNA from 14 species